AGCGCAUGCGCAAUGCAGGUGGCGGGAGAGCGCGCCUUCGUCUGUGGGGCGUGCGGCCAGGAGGGGUUGCGGAGGUGGCUCCAAACGGCUUCGAAGUGCGGCUGCCUUCGCAGUGUUUGAUCCUUUGUCUGUGUGCCUGCCUGGUCGCUUGGCCCUGUGGAGCCUGUUUGCUUGCACUUCCGGCCAUCAUUCCCACGGACCUGCUGCCUUCUCUAGUUCAGUCAAAAAUGCAAGAUAAAAACCAUUUUGUCUGCGAGAAUAGAGUUUCUGGUGUCACAAACACUAGGAGAAACUGUUGCGAGUACCACUGACAGCAGUUGCUGACUGGAUUUCCUUACCAGGUGUGCUUUCUGCAGAGGGGAUUCCACAUCUGAACAUGGACCAUCACAGAAAGCAGACGUGGUCAUUACAAAUAGGUGCACUUACUUCCAUAGGUCAAAUCCCAGUGAGCUCCCUAACUAGCAACACGCCACUGACUACUUUGCAAUUAUUCAGAUGCAAAUGGAAAAUAGCAUCUCUUGUUUCUAUUUUAAAACACAACAGUGGUUUGUCAAAUAGUAACUGUGGGUCAGUAUUUACAAAACUUUUUUGCUUGAAUAAAACAAACACUGGCACAGUGGAAGUGUGGAAUGAAUCUCACUGAGCAAACUCGCAGUAUGAUAAUGAUCUCUGCUGAGCUGUAAGCACCAAUUCCUGCUCUGGCUGAAGCCUUCCUUGAGGCAAAAGUGCUGCUGCCUUUACAAGACCAUUUUCAGAUCAGUUGAAAUCCUAGUGUUUUCUGCUUUCCAGAGUGAAUUUAAUUAAAACAAAUACAAAGAGACAUAAUAUAAGUAUAGGAGAAACUGAAGUAAAUGUAAGACCUUAUUGCCUGUGCCUUCACUUCAUGUAGCUUGAUUUUGUGCUGGCUGAAAUUAAUGGAGCUUCUUGCUGAUUUGUAGUGUAAAGGACUUGUGCAUAUUGCUUGGUACUAAGAUCAGUGUAUUCAUACAAAAUAAAGACCACUGUGCCACAUAAACAUCCCCUUUCAAUCUGAGGAUGAGUAGCUGUGCUAGCCAGCCUGGUGAAAAGCACGUGUUCUGUUCCUUACUGCUUGGUUUGUAUGAAAUGUAUUCACUCUUGUAAAGGUGUUAGGAGCCAGGAGGUUUCUUGUAAUGCCUCUGUUUAUGGAAUUGACAUACAAAUUAUAUUAAGCUAUAGGAGACUGGGAUCUUUUUCAAGCUUUGAAUAUGAGCCAAAUGGGACCACUUGCUGGGAGAUUAGGCAGAAUUUCUAACAGCAGGAAGGAAAAUUGUCAUAUGUUUGUGAUUUCUCAGACUUGGCUUUGGUUAACAAUAGAUGUAGGCAGGCUCAAGCACAGGAGCUUCUAGAGAUUUCAGCCACACAUCUUCAUCAUCUUGAGUCUUCUUUUUCUUAUUCUGAGUAAGAAAAGUCUCAGUAUAAGACUGUAAGUCUUAUAUUGAGAAAUUUAUUAAAUAAUGUUUCUUAUUGCUUUCAAUACUUGAAUGGGUUGUUAACCUCAUUUGUUAAUGCUGAAUUUAUUUGCAAGUACUCGCUCAUAUUUUUGUACUGAUAAAACUCCUGUUAUCAUUUAUUUUUAACAUUAAUAUCAUUGCCCUAUGAACUUAUAUUCAUCUUCUCAAAGUUUUUAUACAGCGUUAAAGCAUGCAUGAUGUUGAAGAUAUUGCCACAGACAGUAAUUCUGGCACUGUUACAUUAUUAUUAUUACAUUAUCAUCUGAUUAUCUGAUAAUGGCCAGCGAUGUUAGCAGAAGGAUGUAUCUAUUCCGAAAUCACAGACACAGCUAUAUGAGCUCUCAGGAGCCACUACCUGCCUGCAUGAAUUCCUUCUGCAAGAGCUACCAUUGGGUAAUGAGGGAAAAAAAUGCAAAAGAGAUACAAGAACUCCAGCUAGUUGCUAACUUCACAGCUUCUGGCCAUUGAGUUAGUAUCUAUGUCAAACUGACAUCUCCUAACUCAACACAGUGAUCCCUUUUUAGUGAGGCAGAUCUCUCUAAUGACUGAAGUAAGCUUUUCUGGUUUUAUAUUUUUGUUAACUCUGCAAAGCUGUAGUGGUGAAGGGAAAAAUUGUUUGUACUUCCAACUUGUGACAGCUGCCAGAUCUGUUUCCCUCCUUGGCAUCAUGAAAGUGUAACAACAGUGUGGCUGGAGUGAGACGGAGUUUCACAAGUGUAAAUUGGAGCAUUUGGCCUAUUACAGCUUGAUUAUAUAUGGUGAUGCGUGCUAAUGAAAUUAAUCUGCUUGUUCCUCAUAUCUCAGUGGGAGCCUGCAAACUUGGAAGUGUUUUUCUUGUUAACUGUAACAAGAAAUGCAAUAAAGAACACAGGUUGUUUGC
rnacentral:lncRNA from 7 species